CUUUCGAGGAAUCUGUUUAUUACCUGAAAGGUACGUUGAUGAUAUGGUACUCAGCUUUGCAACUGGUUGGGACAACAUCUAGGUUGUUUCUCACCGCAUUUCCACUGCUACUGCAUAAUUGGAGGAAACUACGAUUUUGUGAUAUACAGUAUCACAUCGACAUAGUAUUUAGCACGAUUAGCGAUUUUAGAUCUUUAUUUAAAGCAGAACAAU